UUGCUAAUUUGAAUUUCAGAAAACACCUAAACCACUUUCUGAUCUUCAGAUUUUGUUUAGGUGCUAAGCAAAUUAAAAGUAAUGCUUACCUGGAUUUUAGAAUAACAUAUGGACUGAAGUGUCUCUUUGUUAUGGGGCCAUCAAACAGACGGUGAAUGAGGUCGAUCUUCAGGCGGAGGUGUGAAUGCAGUCUGCUGUCCUGCUCACUGUGGACCAGCAGCUGAGGAUCCAGAGAAGAGUGGGAGACUGAUUACCUGCAAGAAAGAGAGACAUUGCCUAUGGAAAAAAAUGGAUUACAAGUAUUAAAAGGAAUAGACUGAGGCUGGAUACAUAAUAACAGUCUUCAACUAUUUAGAAGACAUACUUUUCUUCUCAUACCGUCUUUUCUUCAGGUCCGUGGUGGCUAAGCAAGAAGAAAACUUCAGCAAGGAAGUUUCCAGUUAGAGAAGGACACUCCCUGGAGGAGGGAAAAGGUACAAAAGGUCAGACGACUGCUUGAUGAACAUCAUUGACUAACAGUGCGGAUUGGCAGUGCUCUCAGCAGCUCCUGGUGAGAGUGAGUAUCACAGAGAGAGUGAUGUAUGGAACAGAAAGUUUCAUGCUCACUAAUGUAAAAGCUAAGGCCUGUCAUACUGCAGGCAAACCCAGCUCCCUUUUUACCGUAGCCUUCGAGCAGACCAAUAAUAUCGGUGUAUUUAGUCGGUUUAUCUACUAAAGCGAGGUUGAUUCUGCCAUCCUUUGCAAGGCUUUGUGGUGAACUGCAGAGGGUAGGACCACUGGCGCAAGCUGAUAACUGGUGCCUUCUAAUGCCAAAGGAAAGGUGGAAUUAACGCUUGGGACAGAGGAUCUCCAGAAGUCAUUGGAAGCAGGAUUUAAAAUGGCUCUUUCUGCAUAUGUCAAAAGCUGCUAGACCCCUCAGGAAAGUGAAAAUUUGGAUUUCUUGGCAGGAGGAUAAUGAGAAGAGAUGAAAGUAAAGCCUCUGAGAAAGAUUGAGUGACUAUCGUUUUCCUCCAGAUUUCUAACAUCAAAAUGGCUACUGUGAAAAGCUUUUCUGCAGCUAAGUCGUCGUCUUUUUCACUUACCUUGGAUACUCAACCCGUGACUUGAGAAAUCCAAACACUUGUACACAGCUUUAAUGGAUUGUAGCCUACAAGUUUGUUCUUCGUGCUAUAACUUCCUGAAGUUAAGUAAUAAAUUACUUUGUUAGGCACUCAAAAAAUUGUGCAAGGAGACUAUUAAUGUUAUCGCAUUAAUGCUAGCCAAAAUGUCUCCACCUGAAGCUGUAUAUAGAAAUGAAAAUCAAAGGCUCAGUGAAAUAUAACAGACAUCACUGAAUGAUAGAUUUACAGUGACUGUCUUGGAUAGCUUUCUCUGAGAUUUAAAGCCAAUGAAUGUAUUUUAUCUGAUUGUAACUUUUCCAGGAAAAUAAAAGCUAUGCAUACCGUGUAUGCUCCUUCAGACUUUACAGUACCAACUGUUUUGGCAUAGUUACUAACACAAAUGAGUUAUUUUUCUCCUACCUGAUGAAUACCAUAGUAAUUUCUGUGACCAGAACACUAGGGAUUGUGAUUAUCUGCUAUCGGCUAACAGUUAUUUCCUGCUACUGAAAGAUGCUUGCCAAAUAAGUUUUUGCAAACUACAUACAGAACUCCUUGUUUUGGUGUCUCAUGAUACUACUGAAAGACUCCAGGAACUGAAAAGGAGAAAAUUUUCUAAAUCCUUGGUGAGCGAUUAGCAUAAUUAUGAUAAAAAAUAUUUAAAUCAGUAAUGGAAGAUUUGAAUCUAUCAACAAUCGUGACCACUCUUUUUUAUCCUUAGUUUUUGUUCUUACCCGAAUUUACAAAGUGGUAAAUUUAUAAUGUUUUACCUGAAUCAACAGAUCUCUAUAUCUCAACAAAAACGGUUGUUACGCAUGGUGUACAAUAUUUCAUGAUAGUCUUAUUAUGUACGAGAUAAAAUACUUUCGUAGUUUUAUUGUAGGCUAUUGCCUGUCCACCUCGCUUUUGAAAGCAGAUGCAUCUUACGAGUUCUUAAAACAAAUUUAUAAGAUAAGCAGUGCAAAGAUAGGUUUAUGCCAUGCUGUAUCUCUUCUGUGGCUGGCUGUAGAAUUUCCUUUCUGCUUUUUUAAACUAUAUUUUAAAAUAAAUAUAGUCUUUAGGUGCCAGUGUUUUUGAAAAAAUAGGCCAGUGGAUUGGAUACCUAUAAGAAGAAUUGUUUAAGAGGGUAUCUCAGUGUCCUUUUGUUGCUAAUCCAGCCUAUAGAAGGGUUAAAUAAGUGUUCAGUUUAUAUGUGUGUAAAUAGGAAGAUUUUUUUAACACUGUAUUUAAAGCAAAGCGUUUGAUGCAGCACAUAAUCUUCUUUCUGUGCAAUACUACCCCUCAUUCUAUGGAGCCAUAUUUCAUUAACUGAAUUAAUAUUUAUUCCUUGUAGAGGUUUUAGACAAUAAUAUUAUUUUUGAUAACCCAAUCAGUUCAGUAUGUAAAACUUCUAACAAAUCUAAAUGAAAUUUCAGUCAUUCAGCCAUCCUCUGCUUCUCUCUGAUCAGCACUCUACAUGGCAAAGGGAACAAGUUUUGGCAAAUGAACAAGGCUGGUGUUGAGGUGAAGAAUGUUUUUUCCUCAUUUUUACUGUAAGUUUCCUUUCUUUUUUUUUCCUGGAUUGCUUUCUUUUUAAGGUGAAGGGUAAAGAAGCUUUCAAUCUCCAGCCUCCAAUUAUAAGGAAAAGAUAGCUGAAAUCUGUAAAAAGUGAGCACUGCAUAUGUCCCUUGUGUGUCUAUGUAUAUGCUUCUUAUCCAUCCUCGUUACUGGCAGCACUCUGAUGAAUGCUAUUAAUUUAGACAUUUAAGAUUUUAAAUAUCAUCACUCCAAGAAGCAUUUCUCCCCAAAGAAUGAAACUUCCGGAGGUCUGGAAAAUAAUAUUUGGUCUUGGUUCCUGUCAAUCACAUUCAGAUCCAGAUGUGAUAUCGCUGAAUGAUGUUAAAUUAAGGAAGGAUUAAUAAGCGGGAAUGAAGUCCUGCUGUUUGGCACGUUUGUGGACACCACUUCUACUUACGAAAGUUUCAAGUCUACGCGCUAACUUAUUUUCAGACUUAAUGAACUAAAAUUACUGUUGUUCUAUUGUGAUGCAGUCUUAGAAAAAAAUGAAGAAAACUUUCUGACUGCCUCCUCCUGUCAGGGAAAAGAAGACCGUUUUGCAGCAGGAACUGUCUUCCAUGGACUGGGACUAAAGUGAAUGAGUGCUACAGUCACGUUCUACUCAUGGUUGCAGAGCCGGGAUCUUCAUGUGAACUUUGAUUUUGCACAGAUGGAUAUGAAAACAUUCCCAUGACAUUUUCGGCAUCUACAUAUAUGACAGCAUUCAUCAUGUCACAAGUUUGAAAGCUAUUGGGCCUCUCCCACAGCCAGACAAGAAAGUACC